rnacentral:sRNA from 3 species
UCGAGCGCAGCGAGAAAGCGUUGCCGCAGGCAACGACCCGAAGGGCGAAGCGCGCAGCGCUGAGUAAUCCUUCCCCCACCACCA